rnacentral:rRNA from 1 species
GAUUGAACGCUGGCGGCAUGCUUUACACAUGCAAGUCGGACGGCAGCACAGAGAAGCUUGCUUCUUGGGUGGCGAGUGGCGAACGGGUGAGUAACGCAUCGGAACGUACCGAGUAGUGGGGGAUAACUGUCCGAAAGGAUGGCUAAUACCGCAUACGCUUUGAGAAGGAAAGCGGGGGAUCUUCGGACCUCGCGCUAUUCGAGCGGCCGAUGUCUGAUUAGCUAGUUGGUGGGGUAAAGGCCUACCAAGGCGACGAUCAGUAGCGGGUCUGAGAGGAUGAUCCGCCACACUGGGACUGAGACACGGCCCAGACUCCUACGGGAGGCAGCAGUGGGGAAUUUUGGACAAUGGGCGCAAGCCUGAUCCAGCCAUGCCGCGUGUCUGAAGAAGGCCUUCGGGUUGUAAAGGACUUUUGUCAGGGAAGAAAAGCUUUGGGUUAAUACCCUGGAGUGAUGACGGUACCUGAAGAAUAAGCACCGGCUAACUAC